UCUGCCCCCUCCACCAGAGCCGCCUCCUGAAGAUGAGGUCGACUGUGCUCAAGUAGGGGGAUUCGAAUGUGGGCAGACGUCCCUCGAGAGAGUGGGCAGCUCCCAUUCCUCCAUGGAGAGGAGAGAACAGAGCACUCCCAACCGGAAAAACUCCUCUCAUAGACGAAUAGACGCAGAAGACGAUUUAAUUCCUUACAACAAGCCCAACUUCCUGUCUCGGGGUCAGAUGUCCAGCAAUUGUUCCACAACAGGAAGUUCAUCAUCACGGGGGUCAACAGGAUCACGGGGGCACGGAACGGGCAGGAAGAGAAAUGAUGAGAUGAGAUAAGUGAAGGCUGUGAGACGCAGGAAGUUUGACUUGGACAUCCCUCCGUUUUCGUUCGAAAGCUGAAGAGAAGAACCGAAGAGAAGUGGACUAGUGUACAGAUUUCAGAGUGUGAAUCUGGGACUUUUGAUUACGUUAUUAAUUAUUAUUGUUAUUGUUAUUUAUGACCUUCAUGGGUGGCAUUUUUCAUCAUGCUGUCACUGUAAAUAAUCAUCUGUUGAAGCUUUUUACAUGGGGUCCAGACGCCAGGAAAGAAGAGUAUAUUGUAUUUAUACAUGAAAGAAAAAAUGAAAUCAUGUUAAAAACUCCGAUAUUAUUGAUAAGUUAAUGUCUGAAUGUGCCAACCUCUUGUAGAAAUGUAUACAGCAGCAUUUCAAAGCAUAAUAAUAUUGCACUCUCGUUGUGUUGGAGAACAACAA